GGAAUAUUGGACAAUGGGCGCAAGCCUGAUCCAGCCAUGCCGCGUGCAGGAAGACGCAUCUAUGGUGUGUAAACUGCUUUUGUACAGGAAGAAACAUCCCUACGUGUAGGGACUUGACGGUACUGUAAGAAUAAGGAUCGGCUAACUCCGUGCCAGCAGCCGCGGUAAUACGGAGGAUCCAAGCGUUAUCCGGAAUCAUUGGGUUUAAAGGGUCCGUAGGCGGUUUAAUAAGUCAGUGGUGAAAUCUGGUCGCUCAACGAUCAAACGGCCAUUGAUACUGUUAGACUUGAAUUACAAGGAAGUAACUAGAAUAUGUAGUGUAGCGGUGAAAUGCUUAGAUAUUACAUGGAAUACCAAUUGCGAAGGCAGGUUACUACUUGUGGAUUGACGCUGAUGGACGAAAGCGUGGGGAGCGAACAGGAUUAGAUACCCUGGUAGUCCACGCCGUAAACGAUGGAUACUAGCUGUUGGGGGUAACUUCAGUGGCUAAGCGAAAGUGAUAAGUAUCCCACCUGGGGAGUACGUUCGCAAGAAUGAAACUCAAAGGAAUUGACGG
rnacentral:rRNA from 1 species